CAACCUCCUCUGCGAAAUUACCUGCUUCUGACCAUCCUAACCUGCUUCUGUCCGGCCUACCCUGUCAACAUUUUAGCCCUGGUGUUCUCUGUAAUGUCCAGAAACAGUUAUGAUCAGGGAGAUUAUGAGGGUUCGAGGCAUUUAGGGAAGAUGGCGCUCUAUGUGUCCAUUGCCUCCAUCAUCAUCGGCAUCCUCAUCAUCACCAUCUUCUGCGCUGUGCAUUUCAGCACGAAACAUGUGUAAGAUGACAGUAUUUUGUCGUGCUGUGCUCUGGGUGAAGGACGUACACUGGGUCGCUCUGUCUGUUGAACUGAACGGAGAUUUUAGUCAUGAAACCAAAAGCAGGACAGAUCCAGCACAGGACAUCAGCUCUCCUCCAUCUGCAGUCCAGCUCUAAAUGAACAUGCUUAUAGAAGAGAGAGGUAGAUGAAAAGUUAUGCCAUUUUUGUCAAGAAUUUUUUACAAUCACAUUCGAUAUAUGCACUUUUAAACCACUGAAUAUUAUGCAUCCAUGCACAUACUGAAUAUGUAAAUAAUUUUGUAAACCACGCAUGUCUGUUCUUUUUCUAAUUCUUUUUGUGGCAAUCCGGUGUUGAAAUGUACAAUGGUUUCAGGGUUGAAUGUCACUACAAAAAUGAUUAAUAGUGACCUUAACUACUAAAUAUCAUUUCAACACAUCACACUGUUUACAGUCUUCAAGUCUUAACAGCUCUUAUAAAAUCUGUAAAAAAAAAAAUAAAAUUAUGGAAAAUGUAAAUAUUACCAAUGUUGGUGCUUAGUGUUUUCCUCUGCCAGUAGAUCAUGAAAACAAGAAAAGGCUCUUUAAUAAAAAUAAAAUGAAAUACUGAUUCUAUAUAUUUGAGUUUAAAAUUUUCUCAGUUUUCAUGUAGGCUAGUCUGUGGAGAUGCUUAUGUGUUGUCAGAUGUUUUACAAAUGAAAAAGACACUCAUUUGGAAAUAAUGUUUUGAUGAACUUGUCCUGAUUACAUUAUAAACUUCAUUUUAAAAAAGCACCAUUCAUACAAAACUGAAAUGUAUAAUUUUUGCACCACUAAUGCCACCGCACGAUUUUCCCACAACUAUGUGUGGAACAACAACAACAACAUCAACAACUAAAAUCAACAAUAAUAAUAGUAAUAAUAAUAAUAAUGCAACAAAUUGGCAGCAAAAGCAUGUCUCGCGUCUCAAGCAACUUCCAUACAUUAUUAUGGAUAUGGAAGUAAAAUGAAUUUCACUUAUCAGUCUUAAACUUAUGUAAGAAAUAAAAUCACUAACAGAAGUGAGAAAGGAUAGCGUUAUACUGAUAUUGAAGCUAUUGCCCCUAAUUUAUUUUUCUAUCUCCCCCAACCCGCUUAAUCUUCAGGCCAGAGAGCUGGUGUAUUUGGAGAUGUACCUUCAGCCCUCAUUUGUGCUAUAUAUAGUGUUGGGUCUCAAUCCCGCGGUGGUGUCAGCGGCCUCUUGUUAUCCCAGCGUGUUCAGGCCAGCGGGGUCACAUGACACAGGAUAGCUGGUUCAGCACUGCCUGUGCUGAAAAACACAAGAAUGUCCCCACACUCCUGGGAAACAGCCCAGUAAACAGUCUGAGUUAGAAUGUGAAAUGUGUUAUGGGACAUCAGGGGCGUUUCUAGCCUUUCAUAAGUACUGGGGCACAGAACCCCCAUCAACAAGUGUCCCCAUGUUUUCAUACUCUUUCAUGAUACUGUUUUGGAUAUAUUCCUCCCUCUUCUAGCUUGAAAUAUUCUGGACAAUGUUUGAAACUUUGUAUUGCUAGUACAUCUUGUGUUAUAGACCUUAAAGGGAUAGUUCACCCAAAAAUGACGUACUCACCCUCAAG